rnacentral:rRNA from 1 species
UGUUCGUUAUUUAGGGCGCAUGGUGGAUGCCUUGGCAUGCUGAGCCGAUGAAGGACGUGAAAGGCUGCGUUAAGCCUCGGGGAGUUGUCAAUUGAGCGUUGAUCCGAGGAUGUCCGAAUGGGGAAACCUGGCACCUGUUAUGGGGUGUUACCUUGCAGUGAAUUCAUAGCUGUUGUGGGGGUUACGCGGGGAAGUGAAACAUCUCAGUACCCGUAGGAGAAGAAAAUAAUAAUGAUUCUGCUAGUAGUGGCGAACGAACGUGGAUGAGGCUAAACCGUGUGCAUGUGAUACCUGGUAGGGGUUGUGUGUGCGGUGUUGUGGGCCCUGAUGAGGAUGGCUACUGACGUCCUGCCUGCGCAUUGUUGUUAGGUGAAGUGGUGUGGAAACGCCUGCCGUAGAAGGUGAUAGUCCUGUAGCUGAAGAUGAUGGUGUGUGGGUUGUUGGGUUGCCCGAGUAGCAGCGGGCUCGUGGAAUCUGCUGUGAAUCUGCCGGGACCACCCGGUAAGCCUAAAUACUCAGUGUGACCGAUAGUGGAUAGUACCGUGAGGGAAUGGUGAAAAGUACCCCGGGAGGGGAGUGAAAUAGUUCCUGAAACCAUGUGCUUACAAUC